rnacentral:lncRNA from 1 species
CAUAAACAAGAUUAAAAGUAUUGGAUAAAAUACUACACACUUAGAUAUACAAUAUAAAGCAAGAAAAUGAAGAAAGCAACAUAAGUGGGUAAGAAAUCCUUAACCACAAGCUUCAAAUCUUCAAGACAAAAGUGUGUGUGCAAAACCUAGCUUCCAACCAUGUUAUCUCAAGCCCUAAGAACUUAAAAUACGCCUAAGGUCUGCCAAAGACUCGUACAAAAUGAGCUGAUUUGGGUAUUAAAGGGUUUGGGGUCAACAAUGUAAAAUUCAUGUACUGCCCAGUUUCCACGCCAAAUUGUUCAUCGCGUUCGCGCUCAAACCUUCGCGCUCGUGAAGGUUUACUUUUCUCAGCCAUCGCAUUCGCGUAUAUAUCUUCGCGUUCACGAAGGUUCCUAUUUUGCUUCAAUGUGUUCUCGUGUGUACUAUGCAUUCGCGUAGGUUUAAAUUUUGUAUCUUUGCGUUCGCGUUUAUCCCUAUGUGUUCGCGUAGGUUUGGUUACUAAUUCAUCGCGUUCGUGUGCUUUACUUCGCGUUCGCGAAGGCCUGUGUCUUGCUUCUUUGCGUUCGGGUUGUGUACUUCACAUUCAUGAAGAAUAAUUCACUGGGCAAGUUCAUUUUGUCCAUUUUAGCUCCUUUUGACUUGUUUUCACUUGGUUUCUCCACCCUUUACUUCUAAAUCACAUAAAACCUGUAAAAUGGAAGUAAAAGACAUUAAACAAAUGAUUUUUAUUACUUAAACAUAACAAAUGUAUAGGCUUAAGGACAAGAGCUAUAACCAAUUCGAGUAAACACGAACACAUAACCGGCGAGCAAAUUCAGAACCACAGAGAACAAUCUUUUAAAUCUUAAAAGGCUUCAAAUUUUAUUUUGGACAAGAUUCACUAUAGUCUCAUAUCUGUAGUAAUUGCUUUACGCUGAUAUACUCUACUGAAAAUACUUUUUCGGGUAUCACAGUUUAGAUUAUAAAAGAACUGAUGGUAUAGUCAAAUCUUAAAACAAUAUAAUUCAAACCAGUACGCUACGACUUCUAAUAAUAAAAACAAACAAAGCAAAACAAAGGAAACACCACAAAUUACACAUACAGUUAUCAUCUUAAAGCAAAACUUUUGAUUGAAUGCAAUUAUAUUUGUUUUUCAACUUAAAAGAAAAUUCUUAACCGAAAAUAGAACACAAAGAUCUGAAACAGAAUAGAGCGAAUCGUGACAAGAAACGACACCGAGAACCGACAACGGAAAACCUCGAAACAGCUAUUUCUAAUGUUGAUCGCUCGAAUGGGAUCUCGCCGGUGAAUUCGCCGUGUUGCGUGUGCAAAGGAGCUGUUUUUACUGGAGAUUUGUGGAGUUUUUAUGGCUGAAAUAAUGGUGUCUUCUGCAACGAUUAAUGGAGCUCGCCGGAACAUAUUAUCUGGCAAAAAACAAAAAAGAGAUCUGGCCAGCAAAUAAAGUCACCGAACAAUGACCUCGAAUCGGGCACAAAGCAACUUUCAAACUCAAAUGAAAUCCAUGAGUUUGAAAGCAAAAAUCGAGAUCGAAAUCAACGAGAAGAAACCAAAACUCGGCAGAGGUGUAC